rnacentral:rRNA from 1 species
UACGGAGGAUCCAAGCGUUAUCCGGAUUUAUUGGGUUUAAAGGGUGCGUAGGCGGCUUAUUAAGUCAGGGGUGAAAGACGGUGGCUCAACCAUCGCAGUGCCUUUGAUACUGAUGAGCUUGAAUACACUUGAGGUAGGCGGAAUGUGACAAGUAGCGGUGAAAUGCAUAGAUAUGUCACUGAACACCAAUUGCGAAGGCAGCUUACUAAGGUGCAAUUGACGCUGAGGCACGAAAGCGUGGGGAUCAAACAGG